rnacentral:rRNA from 1 species
AUAUACAGCCUUAGCACCCUGAGAACGCCCAAUCUGGGAAGCUAAGCAGGGUCGGGCCUGGUCAGUGCUUGGAUGGGAGACCAGCUGGAACAGUGGGUGCUGGGCAAC